rnacentral:rRNA from 1 species
GACAGAGGGUGCAAACGUUGUUCGGAAUUACUGGGGCGUAAAGCGAGUGUAGGCGGUCUCCUAAGUCGGGUGUGAAAGCCCCGGGCUCAACCCGGGAAGUGCACUCGAAACUGGGAGGCUAGAGUAUCGGAGAGGUUGGUGGAAUUCUCGGUGUAGAGGUGAAAUUCGUAGAUAUCGAGAGGAACACCGGUGGCGAAGGCGGCCAACUGGACAAUACUGACGCUGAGAACUCGAAAGCGUGGGGGAGCGAACAGG